UGGGGAAUAUUGGACAAUGGACGCAAGUCUGAUCCAGCAAUGCCGCGUGAGUGAUGAAGGCCUUAGGGUUGUAAAGCUCUUUUACCAAGGAUGAUAAUGACAGUACCUGGAGAAUAAGCUCCGGCUAACUCCGUGCCAGCAGCCGCGGUAAUACGGAGGGAGCUAGCGUUGUUCGGAAUUACUGGGCGUAAAGCGCACGUAGGCGGUUACUCAAGUCAGAGGUGAAAGCCCGGGGCUCAACCCCGGAACUGCCUUUGAAACUAGGUAACUAGAAUCCUGGAGAGGUGAGUGGAAUUCCGAGUGUAGAGGUGAAAUUCGUAGAUAUUCGGAAGAACACCAGUGGCAAGGCGGCUCACUGGACAGGUAUUGACGCUGAGGUGCGAAAGCGUGGGGAACAAACA
rnacentral:rRNA from 1 species